rnacentral:other from 1 species
GGGUGCCUGCCCUGUUUGUGAUAAGUGAAAAUGUUGAUCCGGCAAAUUAGAUCUUUUGGGAGCCUCAGUAAAGAACCGGUGUGCAUGUCUCCUUCAGGGAGAAAGCCUAAUGUUUCUUUCAGGGCACCCACCUAUCAUAUAGGCGGAUCUAAUCUUUCCUUACACGGCAGGGUGGGUUUAUU